GUGAGAUUCCUCAGAGGGCAGUCCGUUUGAAACGAGGCGACAGUAGGAACUAAAAGCUGAUAUUUUCCAGUCCUGAACCGACAACGGUCCUCUAAAAACAACUUCAGUCUUAGCAGUAGCAGUAGCAGCCAGUCUUCUCGUGGUUUGGUUUUCUCACUACCUAGAAGCCAUGGCAGAUGAAGCGGACAUGCGCAAUGAGCUGGAAAACCUGCAGGCGAAGGCAGAUCAGAUAGCCGAUGAGUCACUGGAGAGCACUCGGCGUAUGCUGGCCAUGGUGGAGGAGGUAA